rnacentral:ncRNA from 2 species
AUAGUGCGCACGGGGAGCUGGAGGAGCCGGCUGAGAUCUGACACGGACGUGGAUCCGAUACACUCACCACAAGUCAGAAAACCCAUCGAACCUGUGAGGUAAUGCUCGCGCAGGGAACUAUGAACUCAAACAAAC